AUGAAUUGCCUGAGUUGGAACUAUCGCGGGCUUGGGAACCCAGCGGCAGUUCGAGAGCUUCGCAGCAUUGUGAAGCAGGAAGGGCCCGGUCUCCUCUUUGUGAUGGAGACCAAAAUUUCGGCAAAAAGAAUAGAAAAUCUGCAGACCACCCUAUGGUUUGCAGGCUGUUUUGCGGUGGACAACGAGGGUUUGAGUGGAGGAAUUGCCUUAUUCUGGUCAGCCGAUGUCAAGGUUGAGCUC
rnacentral:rRNA from 1 species